rfam:Drosophila mojavensis strain TSC#15081-1352.22 Ctg01_10271, whole genome shotgun sequence.
UUAUAAAAAAUGUUCAAAUGCUUUGCCCCUAUCUGAAAAAUAAGAGAAACUUCUCAUGUUGAAUGCGAGAUCGGUCUUACUGAAUUGAAAAG